rnacentral:rRNA from 1 species
AUGGACCCUUCCAGACCUUAUUCUCGUGGCUAUGCAUUGGAGUCGGAUGACGAAGAUCCCGAUGAAGAAGUUGAUGAGGAGGGGUUCACCGUGAAUGAGGCCGAAGCUUACAAGAAGGUAUUCGAUGACCAUUGGACACCAUUGUUCAAGGAUGUUACUCUCGCGGAUGAAGCCGUGGUAGAUGGCGACAAAGGUAUAUUUCUUGGAGUUAGGCCAACUUCUCACUGGGAUUUGGAGCACGGAAAGAAUGAUAUUGCUCUCAGGUCUAAGUUUGGAACCUUCUCGGAAUUGAAGAUGUGGCUCGACGACUACUCGGUUACGCAUUAUCGUCCACACAAGGUGGUUCACUCGGACAUCAAUGUGCGUUACACGGUUGCAUGUGAGGAGGCCUAA